AAGACUUUUAUUACUUGGUGGAGAACGCAGGUCUUACUGCGUUCGUUGCAGAUAAGUGCUCACAAUACCUCCUCCUCACCAAUAUUUUCGUUCAAAGCUUCAACUUUUGUCCGAGGAAGAAUCCUCCGAUGGUUGAGUUCAUGAUAUACGAUGUUCCCCAGUGCAUGACACUACAGGAUUUUUGCAAUGUAUGCAAAUUACCUUAUGUUGGGGAUAUCCGUGACCCUCGUCCACGGGACUUGGAGGAUUUCAUUGGUACUAUUGCUGUUGGAGAGGAGAGAGGAGUGUCUC
rnacentral:lncRNA from 1 species